rnacentral:rRNA from 1 species
AUACCGGAUAAUAUUUUGAACCGCAUGGUUCAAAAGUGAAAGACGGUCUUGCUGUCACUUAUAGAUGGAUCCGCGCUGCAUUAGCUAGUUGGUAAGGUAACGGCUUACCAAGGCAACGAUGCAUAGCCGACCUGAGAGGGUGAUCGGCCACACUGGAACUGAGACACGGUCCAGACUCCUACGGGAGGCAGCAGUAGGGAAUCUUCCGCAAUGGGCGAAAGCCUGACGGAGCAACGCCGCGUGAGUGAUGAAGGUCUUCGGAUCGUAAAACUCUGUUAUUAGGGAAGAACAUAUGUGUAAGUAACUGUGCACAUCUUGACGGUACCUAAUCAGAAAGCCACGGCUAACUACGUGCCAGCAGCCGCGGUAAUACGUAGGUGGCAAGCGUUAUCCGGAAUUAUUGGGCGUAAAGCGCGCGUAGGCGGUUUUUUAAGUCUGAUGUGAAAGCCCACGGCUCAACCGUGGAGGGUCAUUGGAAACUGGAAAACUUGAGUGCAGAAGAGGAAAGUGGAAUUCCAUGUGUAGCGGUGAAAUGCGCAGAGAUAUGGAGGAACACCAGUGGCGAAGGCGACUUUCUGGUCUGUAACUGACGCUGAUGUGCGAAAGCGUGGGGAUCAAACAGGAUUAGAUACCCUGGUAGUCCACGCCGUAAACGAUGAGUGCUAAGUGUUAGGGGGUUUCCGCCCCUUAGUGCUGCAGCUAACGCAUUAAGCACUCCGCCUGGGGAGUACGACCGCAAGGUUGAAACUCAAAGGAAUUGACGGGGACCCGCACAAGCGGUGGAGCAUGUGGUUUAAUUCGAAGCAACGCGAAGAACCUUACCAAAUCUUGACAUCCUUUGACAACUCUAGAGAUAGAGCUUUCCCCUUCGGGGGACAAAGUGACAGGUGGUGCAUGGUUGUCGUCAGCUCGUGUCGUGAGAUGUUGGGUUAAGUCCCGCAACGAGCGCAACCCUUAAGCUUAGUUGCCAUCAUUAAGUUGGGCACUCUAAGUUGACUGCCGGUGACAAACCGGAGGAAGGUGGGGAUGACGUCAAAUCAUCAUGCCCCUUAUGAUUUGGGCUACACACGUGCUACAAUGGACAAUACAAAGGGCAGCGAAACCGCGAGGUCAAGCAAAUCCCAUAAAGUUGUUCUCAGUUCGGAUUGUAGUCUGCAACUCGACUACAUGAAGCUGGAAUCGCUAGUAAUCGUAGAUCAGCAUGCUACGGUGAAUACGUUCCCGGGUCUUGUACACACCGCCCGUCACACCACGAGAGUUUGUAACACCCGAAGCCGGUGGAGUAACCUUUUAGGAGCUAGCCGUCGAAGGUGGGACAAAUGAUUGGGGUGAAGUCGUAACAAGGUAGCCGUAUCGGAAGGUGCGGCUGGAUCACCUCCUUU